GGCACCUGUGGUUCGAGACCCUCUCCUCACCGUCGACCCAUCAGUAGCCACGACGCCAUCGAGCUACCAAACUCAGCCACGACAAAACCUACAACCAAUUCAAACUCGAUUCUCCUCCCUCGGCUAAGCUUCAUCUCCGUUUCGUUUCUCGACGCACAUCGCCACGCUCUGUCUCGCAUCAUCUCCAUGGUAGGUUUCAGAUCUAUUCUAUGGAAAAUUGGUUUCCCAUCUUCACUGUUUCGUGUUCAUGGUUAGGGUUUCGUGAUUCCAAUCACAAGAUGUUGCAGAACCCUCUUGCGUCAUCUCUCUUUGCCCCUUCCAACAACGCCGAUUCUGCAAAAAGCUCUUCGCUGACCACGCAUUGAUUGAUUUUCUCCUUCUUUGUUUUUGGUGGUGGCUGUUCUGGUAUGGAAACGUAUAAUGUUCCUGAAACUAGAAACUCGGAUGCUUUCUUGGUUGAAGCUGCUGAUAUAAACUCGCACUUCCCAAGCUCAAAUCUUGAACAAACUGAAGUUGAGUAAUUAUUAUAAAUAUUUGUAUUAAGCUC